CUUAAAAGGCCGACAUCCCCAACUGUCCCUGGGUCUUCGACAGCACGAUGAUGGGCUAUAAUCACAAAGGCUUACCUCUUCAUUCAGUCCCUCUUCCCCGGGACUUUGCAAAAGAUUCUGAAUCAUGGAAUCGGGUGAUGAUGUUUUUCUAAUGCCGUGUACUCUGGGCAGGAUAUCAUCAUAUACUGUAAGUUGGUUAUAGAGACACUACAGUAUAGAUGAUGUACUAUCCAGGGUUUCAUCCCCCCACCAGGAAACAUUGGGGCUAAUGGCAUGAAUUCACUGACUCAACUGAAACUCUCGGAAACACGUAAGAGAGUGGCAAUGAAACCGUUACCAUUACUGAGCUUUAGUAAUGGUAAGGGUUAUAUUGCUUCUUCUCACUGUCAUCUGAUGGACGGAGAGCUAACAGUGAAACCACUGUAAGUCAAGAAAAUGCCACAUCUUACCGUUUAAUGUUAUGAAAUAAGACUUAAGCUUUGAAAAUAUAUAUUGAUAUUGUGCUCAAGGAAUGAGUAACUACUGUAUAAUAAAGAUCCUCAUAAUGUUUUGUGACUAAAGAUGAAGUUACAGCCACAACACGCCUGCAUCCUAUGUCUCCUAUGCCACAGCUCACACAUUUAUGACUUUUAAGAAUUUGUUUUUCAUUUUUACUUAACAUACAUUCCCACAGAGUUAAUAUGGCCAUAGUGGACACAUUGUUUAACCUGCAUCUGAACAAAAACAUUUGCAUUUACCAUACACGUCCUUAUGUACCUGAUUUAGGUCUCUAUCUACACAUUAGCAUACACAUACACUGUAUUGUAAGGACACUAAAAAGUUGGCCAUGGCCACAAUGCUGUAACAUUGGCACAUUUUAAGCUAAUUUUGGUUUAAUUUAUCCAGCAGUAGUCGUAAUAGUAGUACUGGCAACAACAACAAAUGUAGCAGUUGAUAACUGCAAUAAUAAUAAUAAUAAUAAUAAUAAUAAUAAUAAUAAUAAUAAUGAUAAUUAUUAUUAUUAUUAUUAUUAUUAUUAUUAUUAUUAUUAUUAUUAUGUGUCAACUAAAAAAAGAAUCAAAAGUAUAAAUAUUUUGUCAUGCUUUUAAUGGUUAAUUAUAUAAAGUGUAAUAACAAACAAUAUAGAA